rnacentral:hammerhead_ribozyme from 1 species
AUCCAGCUGACUAGUCCCGAAAUUAGACGAAACGCGCGUCCUGCAU